UCUCUCUCGCAUGCGAACGGCGAUUAAAGAUGCGAUUCAUCCCGAAUCGGAAAAAUCAAUGGAUUCACGUCGAAUCCUUUGAUUUUACUGGCUUAAAAUGGAGGAUUGUUGGUCACCCGGAGGCGAUGGCUUUCAGAUCGGCGUAACCGUAAGAGUUGACGGUUCGGUUCUCACGGAAAACGACGGCGGAGGAUUCUUCUGGUGGCCUACAGGGAACGACGAGGUCCACUGGCUAACGAGUCGGAGAUUGAAGGUUCGUCUUCUCCUUUCCGAUUUAUUGCAUGUAUUUGGAAUUAGUCUUCUCCUUUCUGAUUUAGGGUUUCAGAUUAAUUGAUUGAUUGUUAGAUUGGUAAAUGUUUUCUUUCGAUUUGACUUAUUAGGCGUAGAUUAUGAGAUUAGUUUGAUGUUCAAUUGAUUUUGAGAUUUGUUUGGUGGGUUAUCGGGUUCAGGUUUUAAUUGUCUGAUAGUUUGAUAUUUGGUAAAUGUUUUGAGAUUUGUCUGAUAGUUUGAUGUUCAAUUGUCUGAUAGUUUUUUUAAGAAUUAGUAGAUUUUUAUGUUAUUGUUAUCUUAUGUUUGUCUGUUUUGUUAUAGAUUGUAGAGUGAACCCAUGUGUUGUUCUUAUUAGGAAUAGAAUGUUUUAGUUUUAUGUUUUGUAUAAGUAAUUAUGUGAUUAAUAUUGACUCUUUUGCAAUGUUUUUUGCGAGGUUAUCAUCAACUGUAUAUAGCGGUUAAAUGGUGAAGAUUGGUUUAGGUGAAGUGGAGACAACGGUUGGAUUCUCUUACUUGAAAAGGUUUUGGGUGCAAAUGAUGUAGAUGUCUCGUUGGCACAUGAAGGGAAACAUGUUGGAAGUCAACCGAAUGGUUUUUUUAACCCGUGAAUGGGUGUUGUUUUUAUUACCAUUCACGGGUCUAUCUUUCGUCUCGGCUAUUGGUUUUUGCUAGGAGUAUCACAACUUGUCCAACCCUUGAUUGGGUUUUGAGUUGUUGUCUUUAUGUAUUGUAACCCGUGAAUGGGUUUUGUUUGUUUGUAAAAUUUAUAUAAGGUCUAUAUAUUGAGCAAUGUUAUGUACAACUUCA